rnacentral:rRNA from 1 species
UACGUAGGGGGCAAGCGUUGUCCGGAAUUAUUGGGCGUAAAGAGCUCGUAGGCGGUGUGUCGCGUCGGCCGUGAAAACCUGCAGCUUAACUGUGGGCUUGCGGUCGAUACGGGCAUCACUGGAGUCGGCAGGGGAGACUGGAAUCCUGGUGUAGCGGUGAAAUGCGCAGAUAAUCAGGAGGAACACCGGUGGCGAAGGCGGGUCUCUGGGCCGAUACUGACGCUGAGGAGCGAAAGCGUGGGGAGCGAACAGG